rnacentral:rRNA from 1 species
AUUGAACGCUGGCGGCAUGCUUUACACAUGCAAGUCGAACGGUAACAGGCCGCAAGGUGCUGACGAGUGGCGAACGGGUGAGUAAUGCAUCGGAACGUGCCCAGUCGUGGGGGAUAACGCAGCGAAAGCUGUGCUAAUACCGCAUACGAUCUAUGGAUGAAAGCGGGGGACCGUAAGGCCUCGCGCGAUUGGAGCGGCCGAUGUCAGAUUAGGUAGUUGGUGGGGUAAAGGCCUACCAAGCCGACGAUCUGUAGCUGGUCUGAGGGGAUGAUCAGCCACACUGGGACUGAGACACGGCCCAGACUCCGACGGGAGGCAGCAGUGGGGAAUAUUGGACAAUGGGCGCAAGCCUGAUCCAGCAAUGCCGCGUGUGUGAAGAAGGCCUUCGGGUUGCAAAGCACUUUAGCCUGGAAAGAAAAAACUUUGGUUAACACCCAAAGUCUUGACGGUACCAGGAGAAUAAGCACCGGCUAACUCUGUGCCAGCCGCCGCAGUAACAC